GAGCGGCUACGGCCGCGAAGUGGAUGAUGUCAAGCUUCCAAGAAAAGCCCUAUACCCGUUAAGGCAUGAUGGCCUGUACCCGAAACCGACACAGGUGGGGUGGUAGAGAAUACCGAGGGGCGCGAGGUAACUCUCUCUAAGGAACUCGGCAAAAUGGCCCCGUAACUUCGGGAGAAGGGGUGCCACCGCGAGGUGGUCGCAGUGAAGAGGCCCAGGCGACUGUUUACCAAAAACACAGGUCUCCGCUAAGUCGCAAGACGAUGUAUGGGGGCUGACGCCUGCCCAGUGCCGGAAGGUUAAGGAAGCUGGUCAGCGCAAGCGAAGCCGGCGACUGAAGCCCCGGUGAACGGCGGCCGUAACGAUAACGGUCCUAAGGUAGCGAAAUUCCUUGUCGGGUAAGUUCCGACCCGCACGAAAGGCGUAACGAUCUGGGCGCUGUCUCGGAGAGAGGCUCGGCGAAAUAGAAUUGUCUGUGAAGAUGCGGACUACGUGCACCCGGACAGAAAGACCCUAUGAAGCUUUACUGUAGCUUGGUAUUGUGCUCGGGCUCGGAAUGCGCAGGAUAGGUGGGAGGCUUUGAUCCAUUGCUUGCGGGUGAUGGUGAGCCACUGGUGAGAUACCACUCUUUCCGAGCUAGAGUUCUAACAGCAACCCGUUAUCCGGGUGCUGGACAGUAUCAGGUGGGCAGUUUGACUGGGGCGGUCGCCUCCUAAAAGGUAACGGAGGCGCGCAAAGGUCUGCUCAGGCUGGUUGGAAAUCAGCCGACGAGUGUAAAAGCAGAAGCAGGCUUGACUGUGAGACCUACAAGUCGAACAGGGAGGAAACUCGGCUUUAGUGAUCCGACGGUUCUGCGUGGAAGGGCCGUCGCUCAACGGAUAAAAGUUACUCUAGGAUAACAGGCUGAUCUCCCCCAAGAGUUCACAUCGACGGGGAGGUUUGGCACCUCGAUGUCGGCUCAUCGCAACCUGGGGCUGAAGUCGGUCCCAAGGGUUGGGCUGUUCGCCCAUUAAAGCGGUACGCGAGCUGGGUUCAGAACGUCGUGAGACAGUUCGGUCCAUAUCCGGUGCACGCGCAGGAAUAUUGAGAGGAUUUCUCCCUAGUACGAGAGGACCGGGAGGAACGCACCUCUGGUGUGCCAAUUAUCGUGCCAACGGUAAACGCUGGGUAGCCAUGUGCGGAGUGGAUAACCGCUGAAAGCAUCUAAGUGGGAAGCCCACCCCAAGAUGAGUAUUCCCAUGGCAUAAGCCAGUAAGGUCACGGGAAGAACACCCGUUGAUAGGCUCUACGUGGAAGCGCAGUAAUGUGUGAAGCGGAGGAGUACUAAUAGACCGAGGGCUUGACC
rnacentral:rRNA from 1 species